GACGAACGCUGGCGGCGUGCUUAACACAUGCAAGUCGAACGGAAAGGCCUUUUCGGAGGUACUCGAGUGGCGCACGGGUGAGUAACACGUGGGUGAUCUGCCCUGCACUCUGGGAUAAGCCUGGGAAACUGGGUCUAAUACCGGAUAGGACCGCACUUUAGUGUGUGUGGUGGAAAGUUUUUUCGGUGUAGGAUGAGCCCGCGGCCUAUCAGCUUGUUGGUGGGGUAAUGGCCUACCAAGGCGGCGACGGGUAGCCGGACUGAGAGGUUGGUCGGCCACAUUGGGACUGAGAUACGGCCCAGACUCCUACGGGAGGCAGCAGUGGGGAAUAUUGCACAAUGGGCGCAAGCCUGAUGCAGCGACGCCGCGGGGGGGAUGACGGCCUUCGGGUUGUAAACUCCUUUCGCCAGGGACGAAGCGUUUUGUGACGGUACCUGGAGAAGAAGCACCGGCUAACUACGUG
rnacentral:rRNA from 1 species